rnacentral:rRNA from 1 species
GAUGAACGCUGGCGGCGUGCUUAACACAUGCAAGUCGAACGAACCUUCGGGUUAGUGGCGGACGGGUGAGUAACGCGUGGGAAUCUGCCCUCAGGAGGGGGAUAACGGUUGGAAACGACCGCUAAUACCCCAUAUGCCGAGAGGUGAAAUGAAUUUCGCCUGAGGAUGAGCCCGCGUCUGAUUAGCUUGUUGGUGAGGUAAAAGCUCACCAAGGCUUCGAUCAGUAGCUGGUCUGAGAGGGCGAUCAGCCACACUGGGACUGAGACACGGCCCAGACUCCUACGGGAGGCAGCAGUGGGGAAUUUUCCGCAAUGGACGAAAGUCUGACGGAGCAACGCCGCGUGAGGGACGAAGGCCUCUGGGCUGUAAACCUCUUUUCUCAAGGAAGAAGAUAUGACGGUACUUGAGGAAUAAGCCACGGCUAAUUCCGUGCCAGCAGCCGCGGUAAUACGGGAGUGGCAAGCGUUAUCCGGAAUUAUUGGGCGUAAAGCGUCCGCAGGCGGCCUUUCAAGUCUGCUGUUAAAGCGUGGAGCUUAACUCCAUUAUGGCAGUGGAAACUGAUUGGCUUGAGUAUGGUAGGGGCAGAGGGAAUUCCCGGUGUAGCGGUGAAAUGCGUAGAUAUCGGGAAGAACACCAGUGGCGAAGGCGCUCUGCUGGGCCAUUACUGACGCUCAUGGACGAAAGCCAGAGGAGCGAAAGGGAUUAGAUACCCCUGUAGUCCUGGCCGUAAACGAUGAACACUAGGUGUCGGGGGAAUCGACCCCUUCGGUGUCGUAGCUAACGCGUUAAGUGUUCCGCCUGGGGAGUACGCACGCAAGUGUGAAACUCAAAGGAAUUGACGGGGGCCCGCACAAGCGGUGGAGUAUGUGGUUUAAUUCGAUGCAACGCGAAGAACCUUACCAGGGCUUGACAUCCUGCGAACCUUUAAGAAAUUAGAGGGUGCCUUCGGGAACGCAGUGACAGGUGGUGCAUGGCUGUCAUCAGCUCGUGUCGUGAGAUGUUGGGUUAAGUCCCGCAACGAGCGCAACCCACGUUUUUAGUUGCCAGCAUUUAGUUGGGCACUCUAGAAAGACCGCCGGUGAUAAACCGGAGGAAGGUGUGGAUGACGUCAAGUCAUCAUGCCCCUUACGUCCUGGGCUACACACGUACUACAAUGCUACGGACAAAGGGCAGCAAACUCGCGAGAGCUAGCAAAUCCCAUAAACCGUGGCUCAGUUCAGAUCGUAGGCUGCAACUCGCCUACGUGAAGUAGGAAUCGCUAGUAAUCGCAGGUCAGCAUACUGCGGUGAA